CUAAACCAUGCACCGAAGCUGCGGCAGCGACGCUUAUGCGUUGUUGGGUAGGGGAGCGUUCUGUAAGCCUGUGAAGGUGUGUCGUGAGGCAUGCUGGAGGUAUCAGAAGUGCGAAUGCUGACAUAAGUAACGAUAAAGCGGGUGAAAAGCCCGCUCGCCGGAAGACCAAGGGUUCCUGUCCAACGUUAAUCGGGGCAGGGUGAGUCGACCCCUAAGGCGAGGCCGAAAGGCGUAGUCGAUGGGAAACGGGUUAAUAUUCCCGUACUUGGUGUUACUGCGAAGGGGGGACGGAGAAGGCUAUGUUGGCCGGGCGACGGUUGUCCCGGUUUAAGCGUGUAGGUGUGUGUUCCAGGUAAAUCCGGUUCACUUUAACACUGAGGCGUGAUGACGAGGCACUACGGUGCUGAAGUAACAAAUGCCCUGCUUCCAGGAAAAGCCUCUAAGCAUCAGGUAACAUCAAAUCGUACCCCAAACCGACACAGGUGGUCAGGUAGAGAAUACCAAGGCGCUUGAGAGAACUCGGGUGAAGGAACUAGGCAAAAUGGUGCCGUAACUUCGGGAGAAGGCACGCUGACACGUAGGUGAAGUGAUUUACUCACGGAGCUGAAGUCAGUCGAAGAUACCAGCUGGCUGCAACUGUUUAUUAAAAACACAGCACUGUGCAAACACGAAAGUGGACGUAUACGGUGUGACGCCUGCCCGGUGCCGGAAGGUUAAUUGAUGGGGUCAGCGCAAGCGAAGCUCCUGAUCGAAGCCCCGGUAAACGGCGGCCGUAACUAUAACGGUCCUAAGGUAGCGAAAUUCCUUGUCGGGUAAGUUCCGACCUGCACGAAUGGCGUAAUGAUGGCCAGGCUGUCUCCACCCGAGACUCAGUGAAAUUGAACUCGCUGUGAAGAUGCAGUGUACCCGCGGCAAGACGGAAAGACCCCGUGAACCUUUACUAUAGCUUGACACUGAACAUUGAGCCUUGAUGUGUAGGAUAGGUGGGAGGCUUUGAAGUGUGGACGCCAGUCUGCAUGGAGCCGACCUUGAAAUACCACCCUUUAAUGUUUGAUGUUCUAACGUGGACCCGUUACCCGGGUUGCGGACAGUGUCUGGUGGGUAGUUUGACUGGGGCGGUCUCCUCCUAAAGAGUAACGGAGGAGCACGAAGGUUGGCUAAUCCUGGUCGGACAUCAGGAGGUUAGUGCAAUGGCAUAAGCCAGCUUGACUGCGAGCGUGACGGCGCGAGCAGGUGCGAAAGCAGGUCAUAGUGAUCCGGUGGUUCUGAAUGGAAGGGCCAUCGCUCAACGGAUAAAAGGUACUCCGGGGAUAACAGGCUGAUACCGCCCAAGAGUUCAUAUCGACGGCGGUGUUUGGCACCUCGAUGUCGGCUCAUCACAUCCUGGGGCUGAAGUAGGUCCCAAGGGUAUGGCUGUUCGCCAUUUAAAGUGGUACGCGAGCUGGGUUUAGAACGUCGUGAGACAGUUCGGUCCCUAUCUGCCGUGGGCGCUGGAGAACUGAGGGGGGCUGCUCCUAGUACGAGAGGACCGGAGUGGACGCAUCACUGGUGUUCGGGUUGUCAUGCCAAUGGCACUGCCCGGUAGCUAAAUGCGGAAGAGAUAAGUGCUGAAAGCAUCUAAGCACGAAACUUGCCCCGAGAUGAGUUCUCCCUGAGACUUUAGGUCUCCUGAAGGAACGUUGAAGACGACGACGUUGAUAGGCCGGGUGUGUAAGCGCAGCGAUGCGUUGAGCUAACCGGUACUAAUGAACCGUGAGGCUUAACCUUACAACGCCG
rnacentral:rRNA from 1 species